rnacentral:rRNA from 1 species
GAUGAACGCUGGCGGCGUGCCUAAUACAUGCAAGUCGAGCGAACGGACGAGAAGCUUGCUUCUCUGAUGUUAGCGGCGGACGGGUGAGUAACACGUGGAUAACCUACCUAUAAGACUGGGAUAACUUCGGGAAACCGGAGCUAAUACCGGAUAAUAUUUUGAACCGCAUGGUUCAAAAGUGAAAGACGGUCUUGCUGUCACUUAUAGAUGGAUCCGCGCUGCAUUAGCUAGUUGGUAAGGUAACGGCUUACCAAGGCAACGAUGCAUAGCCGACCUGAGAGGGUGAUCGGCCACACUGGAACUGAGACACGGUCCAGACUCCUACGGGAGGCAGCAGUAGGGAAUCUUCCGCAAUGGGCGAAAGCCUGACGGAGCAACGCCGCGUGAGUGAUGAAGGUCUUCGGAUCGUAAAACUCUGUUAUUAGGGAAGAACAUAUGUGUAAGUAACUGUGCACAUCUUGACGGUACCUAAUCAGAAAGCCACGGCUAACUACGUGCCAGCAGCCGCGGUAAUACGUAGGUGGCAAGCGUUAUCCGGAAUUAUUGGGCGUAAAGCGCGCGUAGGCGGUUUUUUAAGUCUGAUGUGAAAGCCCACGGCUCAACCGUGGAGGGUCAUUGGAAACUGGAAAACUUGAGUGCAGAAGAGGAAAGUGGAAUUCCAUGUGUAGCGGUGAGAUGCGCAGAGAUAUGGAGGAACACCAGUGGCGAAGGCGACUUUCUGGUCUGUAACUGACGCUGAUGUGCGAAAGCGUGGGGAUCAAACAGGAUUAGAUACCCUGGUAGUCCACGCCGUAAACGAUGAGUGCUAAGUGUUAGGGGGUUUCCGCCCCUUAGUGCUGCAGCUAACGCAUUAAGCACUCCGCCUGGGGAGUACGACCGCAAGGUUGAAACUCAAAGGAAUUGACGGGGACCCGCACAAGCGGUGGAGCAUGUGGUUUAAUUCGAAGCAACGCGAAGAACCUUACCAAAUCUUGACAUCCUUUGACAACUCUAGAGAUAGAGCCUUCCCCUUCGGGGGACAAAGUGACAGGUGGUGCAUGGUUGUCGUCAGCUCGUGUCGUGAGAUGUUGGGUUAAGUCCCGCAACGAGCGCAACCCUUAAGCUUAGUUGCCAUCAUUAAGUUGGGCACUCUAAGUUGACUGCCGGUGACAAACCGGAGGAAGGUGGGGAUGACGUCAAAUCAUCAUGCCCCUUAUGAUUUGGGCUACACACGUGCUACAAUGGACAAUACAAAGGGCAGCGAAACCGCGAGGUCAAGCAAAUCCCAUAAAGUUGUUCUCAGUUCGGAUUGUAGUCUGCAACUCGACUACAUGAAGCUGGAAUCGCUAGUAAUCGUAGAUCAGCAUGCUACGGUGAAUACGUUCCCGGGUCU